rnacentral:rRNA from 1 species
AUUGAACGCUGGCGGCAUGCUUUACACAUGCAAGUCGAACGAGUGGCGAACGGGUGAGUAAUAUAUGGGGAUCUGCCCGAUAGAGGGGGAUAACUACUGGAAAGGUGGCUAAUACCGCAUACUAUCGGAUGAACCCAUAUGGGAUUAGCUAGUAGGUGGGGUAACGGCUCACCAAGGCGACGAUCCGUAGCUGGUUUGAGAGGACGACCAGCCACACUGGGACUGAGACACGGCCCAGACUCCUACGGGAGGCAGCAGUGGGGAAUUUUGGACAAUGGGGGAAACCCUGAUCCAGCCAUCCCGCGGGUGCGAUGAAGGCCUUCGGGUUGUAAAGCACUUUUGGCAGGAAAGCGGUACCUGCAGAAUAAGCACCGGCUAACUACGUGCCAGCAGCCGCGGUAAUAC